rnacentral:lncRNA from 1 species
GCAUAGGCACAGAUGUGCACUCACACAUCAAUUUCUAAUGAAGGAAGCAGUCUUCGGCUAAGGAUGGAUGGGGUCUCAUGAGCAAACAACCCACUCCAGUGUUGUGUGUCAUUGAGAGGCAACACAGAAUCUCACAAUGUCUUUAGCAAGAGUAUGUUCUAGUCACUCAAGGCAUUACCUUGCUGACUGCUGCACCAUUUAAUGACUGUUCUCUUUCUGGUCUCCUUUGAUGAGUCCUCUGUUCUGUCUUCAUCUCCAAGAUGACCAUUUGCCUUUAAACCCAUACUUCAAGGUCUUUGCCCCAAGGGAAUCCAGAGCCAGAUACUGCCCUGUGAGGGAGAAAGAUUUUUAUUGACUCCCUUAGUUUAGACCACCACUCCUGGGAGAACCACACAAUCACAGAGCGCUCUAGCUGCAUUCCCCUGGCUCUUGGAAACAGACGACAGGGCUAGGCCUCUUCUAAUCCAAGCAUCUUGACCAACAUCACAGAAGCAGAACGAAUAUUACAUGGUUCUCUGACCGUCCACCAUGUUUUAUUUCCAACUGAUCUCUCUCUGAAUUUCCUACUCC